GAUGAAGAACGUAGUGAAAUGCGAUAAGUAAUGUGAAUUGCAGAAUUCAGUGAAUCAUCGAAUCUUUGAACGCACAUUGCGCCCGCCAGUAUUCUGGCGGGCAUGCCUGUUCGAGCGUCAUUUCAACCAUCAAGCCCCAGGCUUGUGUUGGGGACCUGCGGCUGCCGCAGGCCCUGAAAACCAGUGGCGGGCUCGCUGUCACACCGGGCGUAGUAGAUUUUAUCUCGCUCUGGACGUGCUGCGGGUUCCGGCCGUUAAAAAACCCUUUUAACCCAAGGUUGACCUCGGAUCAGGUAGGAAUACCCGCUGAACUUAAGCAUAUCAAUAAGCGAGGA
rnacentral:misc_RNA from 1 species